GUUCUUAUAGUUAAUUAAUAACGUAAUAUUGAAGCUAUUAAGAUAAACUUUGUUUUGAGGA
rnacentral:tRNA from 1 species